UUGAAUCCCAGGUCUUACAGGUGAUGUUUAGGAGCUUUCUCAUGGCAAUUUUGCAUACUUUGUACCACACACAUGAAGAAGUAAUGCUUUUGAUGAAAAUGUAGCACUUCUUUUAAAAAAAAAUCAAAAAAGCAAGAAACUUAAAACAUUCAUAAAAUAUCUCUAAGCUUUUUCCCCCAGACAACCAGAUUUAACCUCCCAGCUGUGGGUCUGUAAGACCCAGAGCCUGACCUAGUUGACAUGAACUGUGUGUAAGAGGGCCAGGAGAGAACAGCUCAGUGUCAGAACCUGGGGGAAUUACAAAUGGCACCAUAGUGAUGACUUGUGGCUUCUCCUGUAAAUCUGAAUAGAAACAUUAUUGUUGCUCUCUCCUCGUCCUCUCUAAACGAAAUUCUGAACCCAUCUCUGUAUUUCUAAGUCAUACAUUGCUUUUUCUAACCUGAUUUGUUCUCUGUGACAAUUUAGUACUGUGUUUGUAAAAUAGAGACAAAGCCAGGACAGGGUUGGCGGUGUGAUUCAGUGGGAGAGCACAUGCCUCAUGUCUUCACAGCCCUGGGUCCUGCCCUCAGCACUGAAGGUAAAACUCAGGUGUUCUACAACAACCAGAAAAAGGGGGACAUUGUGUCCUCUGCAUUGUCUGACAGGUGGAACUGGGAGCAAGACAAACUGAUGCUGGGAACGACCCCAACGUCCAUGUCCCCCAACAGCCUAAAGCACAGGGAAGAUCACCUCAAACAUACUACAGAUGAGAUGAGUCCCCAACAAAAUCCUGAAACAGAAGAACACUGUUAGGGAUUUCAGGGCUGGAACAUACAAACAUCCUCUACCCUGGCUCCAUUGUCCUGGGUGAGCUGCCAAGCCCUCUUCCUGCUGCUGUUCCAUUUUGAGGAAGGUGACAAACGGUAGCUGGGUGUAGCCAAUGUCAUAGGCCCAUAGGAUUCUUUGUGGACAAGAAGAUAAAGCGUUAUCUUCCCAGCCUGUGGCUUUGUGCUGAGCACAAAGCUAACUACUUGUCCUCUCAGGCCCGUGGAGUAUUAUCAUGAUUCGGCACACAAACCUGACAGAACAGAUGGGAUUAUUCCCACUUGGUGGAUAAGGAAAGUGAGCUCAGAUAGUCAGCGCAUGAUACAGUUUCCACCAAGGAGGAAAAGCCCAGCAUCAGAUGCCUCCCCCGACCUGGACAUGGUCAGCUGCUUCUUCCUUCCAUGAGAUCAUAGCCUCUAGACUUACAAAUGUCUAAGUUCAAGAACAUCCAGAACCAAUGGAAGCCAAGGGAUUCAUUUGAUUGGAGAGCCAGUAGGCAUAGACUGUAGUGAUGUAUGACACUGGAUGAAAUUAAUGUCAAAAAUUACUUUCCCCACUGUUGACUUUGCUCUAAAUAUGCUUGCGUCCUAAAACUGCAUGUGAACACCAACAUGUUCUGCCAUGUACUCUGACACUUCUCAAUUACUGGACAUGGAUUUCUGAAACUAUCCAACUAUUGUAGUUAUUAAGUAGAGAGCUUUCUAGCUGAACUGUGUCACAGAUAACCUGUACCUCCUGUGCAUGCUACCAAGUGACACUGAGUGCUAGUCAGCCAUGGCCUCUUUCUGAGCAUGGCUAUGGUCAGGUCACAUGAGCAUUCAGAGCUGGGCAUUUAUCUGGAAUAGGCUUAUGUGAAGACCAAAGGCCAGAGGGGGGAGGGUCUUCUGAAGAAGCGUCUCCAGGCUAUGAUCAUCGGGCAGGCCCUGCAACUCCAUAAUACUGUGAGGACCAAACACAAAGAGUCCAGAGAGUAGGCAAUCUGGUUCUAGGGGAGAGAUGAUCUGGGUGUCUCCAUCUCAGACCCAGAAAGUCACUUAAGCCAGGAAGACACAUGCAAAUGGUGGCUGUGGGGUGGAGGGUGGGGCAUUGCUCUGGAACAAGAAUGUGCAUGGUUAAAUGGAAACCAUAACAUUUGCAAACAUGGGUAAUUUGUGAGCUUUGGUUAUUGUUUUAGCAUUUUCCUAAGGUCCAUCCCUUUAUUUAUUGAAUAGUGUGAUUUGACAAGAGAUCUAUAAUAGCAGUUGCCAGAAGUAGAGGAAUUUUGACACAAGAUUUUCAGUUCUCUCACAGAGCACUGUAGACUGCUGGGCCAUAUGGAAGUCAGAUGUGAUCAUAGAGACUCAAGGAAGGUGACAGCCUCAGUCUGAUAGACACGUGUGCUGGGAUGGGAGCCCAAAGGCCACAGCCCACAGUGCACAAAAAAACCUAGGCAGGUGGACAAUGGUGAGCAGGAAGCACAGUCAGGAGGUAACACAGACCCAGCCUGGGCUUCGCAGUGGCAGGGGUAUGAUUGGAGCACAUCAGGGAAACUGAGGCUCCUUCUCAAAGAAACUGGGAUGAUCAUUGGACUUUGUGGGUGGCCAUGGAGGAGCUCUGGUGGAUUCAUUGGCUAGAACCUUGUUUACUGACACACAUG
rnacentral:lncRNA from 1 species